GACGAACGCUGGCGGCGUGCCUAAUACAUGCAAGUCGAACGCAGUGGGGACGGGUGAGUAACACGUGGGUAACCUCCCAUCAGAGGGGAUAACACUUGGAAACCGGUGCUAAAACCGCUACUGAUGGAUGGAGCCGCUGUGCAUUAGCUAGUUGGUGAGGUAACGGCGCACCAAGGCCACGAUGGCUAGCCGGCCUGAGAGGGUGAUCGGCAACACUGGGACUGAGACACGGUCCAGACUCCGACGGGAGGCAGCAGUGGGGAAGCUUCGGCAAUGGACGAAAGUCUGACGGAGCAACGCCGCGUGAGUGAAGAAGGUUUUCGGAUCGUAAAGCUCUGUUGUCAGAGAGGCGGUAUUUACCGAGGAAGCCACGGCUAACUACGUGCCAGCAGCCGCGGUAAUAC
rnacentral:rRNA from 1 species